GACGAACGCUGGCCGCGUGCUUAACACAUGCAAGUCGAACGGUGAUGGCCAGCUUGCUGGUCUGAUCAGUGGCGAACGGGUGAGUAACACGUGAGCAACCUGCCCUUCACUCUGGGAUAAGCCCUGGAAACGGGGUCUAAUACCGGAUAUGAGACGCAUCCGCAUGGGUAGUGUCUGGAAAGAUUUAUCGGUGAAGGAUGGGCUCGCGGCCUAUCAGCUUGUUGGUGGGGUAGUGGCCUACCAAGGCGACGACGGGUAGCCGGCCUGAGAGGGCGACCGGCCACACUGGGACUGAGACACGGCCCAGACUCCUACGGGAGGCAGCAGUGGGGAAUAUUGCACAAUGGGCGCAAGCCUGAUGCAGCGACGCCGCGUGGAGGAUGACGGCCUUCGGGUUGUAAACUCCUUUCAGCAGGGAAGAAGCGCAAGUGACGGUACCUGCAGAAGAAGCGCCGGCUAACUACGUGCCAGCAGCCGCGGUAAUACGUAGGGCGCAAGCGUUGUCCGGAAUUAUUGGGCGUAAAGAGCUCGUAGGCGGUUUGUCGCGUCUGCUGUGAAAACCUAAGGCUCAACCUUGGGCUUGCAGUGGGUACGGGCAGACUAGAGUGCGGUAGGGGUGACUGGAAUUCCUGGUGUAGCGGUGGAAUGCGCAGAUAUCAGGAGGAACACCGAUGGCGAAGGCAGGUCACUGGGCCGCAACUGACGCUGAGGAGCGAAAGCAUGGGGAGCGAACAGGAUUAGAUACCCUGGUAGUCCAUGCCGUAAACGUUGGGCACUAGGUGUGGGGCUCAUUCCACGAGUUCCGUGCCGCAGCAAACGCAUUAAGUGCCCCGCCUGGGGAGUACGGCCGCAAGGCUAAAACUCAAAGAAAUUGACGGGGGCCCGCACAAGCGGCGGAGCAUGCGGAUUAAUUCGAUGCAACGCGAAGAACCUUACCAAGGCUUGACAUACACCGGAAAAGUGCAGAGAUGUGCUCCCCGUAAGGUCGGUGUACAGGUGGUGCAUGGUUGUCGUCAGCUCGUGUCGUGAGAUGUUGGGUUAAGUCCCGCAACGAGCGCAACCCUCGUCCCAUGUUGCCAGCGGGUUAUGCCGGGGACUCAUGGGAGACUGCCGGGGUCAACUCGGAGGAAGGUGGGGAUGACGUCAAAUCAUCAUGCCCCUUAUGUCUUGGGCUUCACGCAUGCUACAAUGGCCGGUACAAAGGGCUGCGAUACCGCGAGGUGGAGCGAAUCCCAAAAAGCCGGUCUCAGUUCGGAUUGGGGUCUGCAACUCGACCCCAUGAAGUCGGAGUCGCUAGUAAUCGCAGAUCAGCAACGCUGCGGUGAAUACGUUCCCGGGCCU
rnacentral:rRNA from 1 species